AUGAUUCCGUGAACGGAUUUCGAGUCACCACUGAGAGGGCCUCCUUCCAGGACUAAUCUUUAGCCGGCGGGCUCCAACUUCCCAGCCUGAACUUCAUCAGUAGUCAAGCAAGAAACAAACAUCUGUGGAGAAGAGCUGGCAUUGUUCGAUUCUGCAAAAAGGCUGUGAGGUGCUCCUAGGGAAAUAUGUCAAAAUAAGCAUACACUCCUUUUGUUUAACUCACAACAUACACACAAACCAGCUAUUGUGAUUCAACUCUAUGAGUAGAACAUUCCAUCCUCAAGAAAUGUGAAUUGAAGUGCAAGGUAAAAAUCCCAUAUAUACUCACUGGAUGAUAAUACUCUAGCUCUUCAGGGCUGCUUUCUCACCCCUCCCCACCCUCACUGCU